rnacentral:lncRNA from 1 species
GCAGUGAACAUGAAAAACAGGGGAGAAGUUCGAGCAGAAGAACUUGAUAAUCCAGUGACAUCAGAUGGGAAGGGACCAUUCUGAGUAUAACAUGCUGUUUAUCAUGUGUCCUGGGAACAGGGUUGGGGUGGAAACUAGAAUGAAAAUUAAAGAAUGAUUUUGCUAGAUACCAUGUUGAACCCUGAGGCACAACAUCAUGGUCAUGGUGCCCAGUAGCCAAAUACAACACCCAAAAGAGAGGGAUGUUCUUUCCCACAGAAUGCUGAGGAGUUCUGUCAUAUGACAGCACCACUGCAUCAUAGUCACCCAUCCCAGUGGGAGUUGUAGCACCCAGGAGACCAGCAGCAAUGCCCAGUAAGGCAAGGCGCUAUCCAAUGGGAAAUGGUAACUCCUGAGAACUACCACCAACAGCCAAAAAAGGAUUUUUGCAAAGGAGCAAUCUCUUCAGGACAGGUAGAUUGCAGGGCUUUGCUUCCAAUAUCACCAGAGACAGGGUCUCACUCUGCCAACCAAGCUGGAGUGCAGUGAUGUGAUCGUAGCUCACUGCUGCCUCGAAUUCCUGGACUCAAGUCAUUCUCCCACCUCAGCCUCCCAAGUAGCUGGAUUACAGCUGCACACCACCAUGCCCAGUUAACUUUUAAUUUUUUGUGGACACAGGAUCUUGCUGUAUUACCGAGACUGGUCUUAAACUCCUGGGCUCAAGUGAUCCUUCCACCUUGGCCUCCCAAAACACUGGGAUUAUAAGCAUAAGUCACCACACUCAGCCCCUAUACUACUUCUUAGAACUGCAGGUAAAUCUGCAAUUAUCUUGAAAUGAAAAGCGUAAGUUUAAAAGGCUGAUUGCUAUACUUUGGACAUUUGUCCCCCAAACCUCAUAUUGAAAUUUGAUCCCUAAUGUUGGAGGUGGGGCCUAAUAGGAAAUGUUUGGGUCCUGAGGUUUAAGGUGGAUCCCUCGUGAAUACAUUAAUGCCCUCUCUGGACGAUGGUGACCUCUCACUCUUAGUUCUUUCACGAUAUGGUUUGGCUGUGCCCCAACUCAAAUCUCAUCUUGAAUUGUAUUUCUCAUAAUCCCCACAUGUUGUGGGAGGGACCCAGUGGGAGGUAAUUUAAUCAUGGGGCAGUUACCCUAAUGCUGUUCUUGUUAUAGUGA